rnacentral:rRNA from 1 species
GUCAAGUGAAUAAGCGUACGUGGUGGAUGCCUUGGCAGCUAGAGGCGAUGAAGGACGUUGUAGACUGCGAUAAGCGUCGGGGAGAGGUCAAACACUCUUUGAUCCGGCGAUUUCCGAAUGGGGAAACCCACCUCUUUUUGAGGUAUCGGCUACUGAAUACAUAGGUAGUCGAGGCGAACGCGGAGAACUGAAACAUCUAAGUACCCGCAGGAAAAGAAAUCAAUUGAGAUUCCCCCAGUAGCGGCGAGCGACCGGGGAUUAGCCCUUAAGUUACAGCAGGUUUAGCAGAACGCUCUGGAAAGUGCGGCGAUAGAGGGUGAUAGCCCCGUAUGCGAAAGGCCUGUUGUGAUGAAAUCGAGUAGGUCGGGACACGUGAAAUCCUGACUGAAUAUGGGGGGACCAUCCUCCAAGGC